CGGAGGGUGCGAGCGUUAAUCGGAAUUACUGGGCGUAAAGCGCAUGCAGGUGGUUUGUUAAGUCAGAUGUGAAAGCCCGGGGCUCAACCUCGGAAUUGCAUUUGAAACUGGCAGACUAGAGUACUGUAGAGGGGGGUAGAAUUUCAGGUGUAGCGGUGAAAUGCGUAGAGAUCUGAAGGAAUACCGGUGGCGAAGGCGGCCCCCUGGACAGAUACUGACACUCAGAUGCGAAAGCGUGGGGAGCAAACAGGAUUAGAUACCCUGGUAGUCCACGCCGUAAACGAUGUCUACUUGGAGGUUGUGGCCUUGAGCCGUGGCUUUCGGAGCUAACGCGUUAAGUAGACCGCCUGGGGAGUACGGU
rnacentral:rRNA from 1 species